UACGUAUGGUGCAAGCGUUAUCCGGAUUUACUGGGUGUAAAGGGAGCGCAGGCGGCACGGCAAGCCUGAUGUGAAAGCCCGCGGCCCAACCGCGGGACUGCAUUGGGAACUACCGGGCUGGAGUGCCGGAGAGGUAGGCGGAAUUCCUAGUGUAGCGGUGAAAUGCGUAGAUAUUAGGAGGAACACCAGUGGCGAAGGCGGCCUACUGGACGGUGACUGACGCUGAGGCUCAAAAGCGUGGGGAGCAAACAGG
rnacentral:rRNA from 1 species